UGGAAGCUUAAACAAUUAGCUGGUGACUGCAGGACAUGUUUAGGAAUCUGGAUAAUUGACUUCUAAUUUCUCCAUUCUUUCUACAGUUCAGUAAAUUAAAAAGCAUUGUUGUGAUGCAGUCUCAUUUAUGGCAGUUAAGUGGACUAUUAUUAUCUUGGAAGAAGAGCCGAAGGAUGCUGUAGUGCUUCUAGCCUCUUCUCUUUGAUCGUCUUUCUGCUCACGAAGGACUGGAGUCUGAAGCUGGGAUUAAUUUCUGAUUAGUCUUAAGCAACAAGAUGUUAAAUGGAUCAGAAAAGGGU